rnacentral:misc_RNA from 1 species
GUAAUAAGCAGGAAGGUCAUAACGGCGACGAAAAAUGGCGUCUUUUGUACCUACCAAACAAUUUGUCGGAGCUUCGUCGUCCUCCGAUAUCGGAUCCUCUCGUCUUGUAUCUCUUCAGCUACCUUCUAAGUUCUCAUCUUCCAACUUUCAUCUCCCAUCUCGUCCAUCACAACUCAAACGCUUAGAGAUACAGGCUGCUGGUAGUACAUUUGGAAAUUACUUCCGCGUUACAACUUUUGGAGAAUCUCAUGGUGGUGGAGUUGGUUGUAUUAUUGAUGGAUGUCCUCCCCGUCUCCCACUUUCUGAAUCUGAUAUGCAGGUGGAACUUGACAGGAGGAGGCCAGGUCAAAGCCGCAUUACCACACCUAGGAAAGAGACUGACACUUGCAAAAUUUCAUCAGGCACUGCAGAUGGGCUGACUACUGGAUCUCCAAUCAAGGUUGAAGUACCUAACACUGAUCAGAGAGGAAAUGACUACAGUGAAAUGUCGCUUGCUUACAGGCCAUCUCAUGCAGAUGCCACUUAUGACUUCAAGUAUGGAGUGAGAUCUGUACAGGGGGGUGGUAGAUCAUCAGCAAGAGAGACUAUUGGGAGAGUUGCUGCUGGAGCAGUUGCUAAGAAAAUUCUCAAACUCUAUUCUGGAGCUGAGGUUCUUGCUUAUGUUUCUCAAGUUCACCAAGUUGUACUUCCUGAGGAUUUGAUUGAUCAUCAGAACGUGACUUUAGAGCAGAUAGAAAGCAAUAUUGUCCGAUGCCCGGAUCCGGAAUAUGCAGAGA